rnacentral:rRNA from 1 species
GAUGAACGCUGGCGGCGUGCUUAACACAUGCAAGUCGAACGGAAAGGCUCCUGCUUGCAGGGGUACUCGAGUGGCGAACGGGUGAGUAACACGUGGGUGAUCUGCCCUGCACUUCGGGAUAAGCCUGGGAAACUGGGUCUAAUACCGGAUAGGACCACAUUUUGGGUGGUGUGGUGGAAAGUUUUUCGGUGUGGGAUGAGCUCGCGGCCUAUCAGCUUGUUGGUGGGGUAAUGGCCUACCAAGGCGUCGACGGGUAGCCGGCCUGAGAGGGUGUACGGCCACAUUGGGACUGAGAUACGGCCCAGACUCCUACGGGAGGCAGCAGUGGGGAAUAUUGCACAAUGGGCGCAAGCCUGAUGCAGCGACGCCGCGUGGGGGAUGACGGCCUUCGGGUUGUAAACUCCUUUCGCUAGGGACGAAGCGCAAGUGACGGUACCUGGAGAAGAAGCACCGGCUAACUACGUG